UGUCUCUGCCGCCGGGCGCCCCCACGUGAUCACGCCUGAUCACGCCUGCGCACACGCGCCACCACGGCCAGCCCCCAGGCUCACGGGACGGCCUCUCCCCAGCCGUGGACCUCCAAGCUGCAGGCCAGUACAAACCUUCUUUCCUCCAAGGCGGCUCCGCUCAGGCAUUUUAUUGGCAGUAACAAAAGGCUGACUUCUGACACCGCCGCUGCCACAGAGAUACAGAGUAUAUUUGCACCUUGCGCACCGAGGCACGAGUGGAGGAAAGCCUAUGAAGUAACAGCGCUCUACUUGGUGAAAACUAACACAGCCUCCUGCCCACUGCUACAGUCACGUGACACCAUCAGUACUGGAUGGUACCGAGCAGCCGCAUGCAACUGUGGUCAUUCAAGUGAGCUAAAAUUAAACAACAUUUAAAGCUCAGAUAUUUGGUGGGAUAAACCACAUUUUAAGCGCCACAUAGCCACAGGUGGCUGAUUGAUGACAUCACCAUCACAGGACAUUCUGGGCAGCACUGGCAGAAGACAGCACUCACAGCUCACCUGGGAGUGGUGCUAAAAGGCCCAGCUUCUCCGCAUGCUUGGCACGCGGGGGAGAUGGGCAUCCCAGAGGAGCAGGCCUCUGGGAGGAGCCUGGGGGAAGCAGGGCAGGGGCAAAGAGACUUCUGGGGCCGAGCAGUCCUGCAGAGAACAAAACAGAAACAGAAACAGAGAGAUGCAUGAUGAGCCCAGUUCUGGCCAUGCUCCCCAAGGAGCCCUCCUGAGUUUGCAAGAAGGGGCUAAGCAGGGAGUAGCCUGCCACUCAGACCAGGCCCAACCUGGGCUCCGCAAAGCUCUGCCAAGUCUCCUUUAGAGGCAGAGUACCCUUACUGGUCUAGCCCAGGGCUCAGCCAACAAGAGACACUGAACCAGGCUUGCUGUCUGGUUAUGGCUUUUCUAUGUUUCAAUGGUCCCGUUUUAAACAAUUAUAUGUAAGAGCCUGG